rnacentral:lncRNA from 1 species
AUGCGCGGUCUGCCUCCCGCGGCGGGCCGGGUCUCCAGGGAGGACCUGAGUUUUCUUCACCCAUGGUGGAUCCGGGGCAGGCUCAGGACCAAGUCCCUCUCCUUCCACCAAGGAGCGCCCAGAGGCCGGCGGGAGCUCCAGGUUCACCUCCUCCUCCUCCAGGAAAUCUCACUUCCAACUGGAUGUCUGGAUGAACUACUGAAAGCUGCUGAGUGUCCUGCAGCAGCUUGACUACCACACAAAUGAAUCCACUCAAAUGUUGGCAAGUGGAGCAGAGUCCCAGGACAGGUACAGAAACACCCCCAGUUCAAGGAUCUUCACACCUGGAUUUAGGCCUACUCCUGCAACUACCCCAGAACCUGGAAUUUAUAUGUUCAACAUGGAGCCAUCCCAGCCAUGACAACAGAGAAUGUACCACUCUCACGCUGGCGCUGAGAUGGGCAGGUGCUGCAGCAGCCCGGCUGGAAGCGAUGCAGCAUCCAGGACGACGGAGGAAGGGGCGGAGAGGGACCUCUGCUUUCCAGGCUGCCUUUUAUACUGCCUCUGGUCACCUGACAUGGAACGUACCCUAACCUAAUCAGUUACCUGUACCUUAAUUGCAAUUAACUUAAUCCAAUUACAUGACCUGGAAAGGUCUAUCUGCACAGCCCACUCUAAGAUCCUGUCCACUGCUGACAGACAUUCUAAAACCUACUUGUACAGCUGCAAGCUUUGAACAAUAGAUGUUCCCCGUCAGACAUGUAACACUGGUGCCUGUAUCCCUGUCUUCUUUUCCAUCUUUUUUGUUGUUUUGUUUUGUUUCGUUUUAAAAAAUGUGGUAAAAUAGACACCUUUUAAUUGGACCACAUUUUGUCUCUCUCGACGUAGGCCUCAGUGUCAUCAAGGAGACUCUCCUUGACAUGCAGUCACGGCCAUGAUCCAUCUUCAGAGCUUCUCUUUCUUCCCCAAGGCUGGCGCUGAGAUGGGCAGGUGCUGCAGCAGCCCCGCUGGAAGCGAUGCAGCAUCCAGAACGACGGAGGAAGGGGCGGAGAGGGACCUCUGCUUUCCAGGCUGCCUUUUAUACUGCCUCUGGUCACCUGACAUG